CAGCUGUGACGUGUUCAGUGCAACCAUUGAAGAACGGGGCCUCAAGCCAACUUGGGAAGAUCCAAUAUCCAGACUCUGUGACCUUUACCUGCAACAAGGGCUACAAUCUGAUUGGCACAAAGACAUCAAGCUGCACAGCAUAUGGCAAUCUGGCCCAACCUUCAUGUUCUGAUGUCAAUGAAUGUAUCACACCAGGAUUUGUUUGCCCCCAGAAUUCGAACUGUUUAAACAGCGACGGCAGUUACUCGUGUCCAUGCAAUACUGGAUAUAGAGAAAAUGGCUCACAAUGCAUCGGCAUUUUGGAAACGUAUUGUCCGAGCACUUGUUCAUGGAUUGCUAGCCGGGCACAACCCAUUUAUACCACGUACGAAGCAGCAGAACAGGAUUGUCAGCACCUGGCGCCGGUUUCUGCCACCGAUUCUGAUAUUUUAAGCCUCAGCACGCUAUACUCCAAUUGCACGGUGACGCAUGUUGCAAAAAUCAGCCGAACUACCCGUCCACCUCUCUGGGUGAAGAGCUUGCCCACAGGUACCAAUAGGAGGGCAUCUGACGAAAAGUGGUAUGGCGCAAACUCGAAAUUUUCCUACUUCU